AUGAACUUUUCUUUCUGAAGAAGACAGCAAGUUGGGGAUUGAAAGAUCCCUGCCUUUAUAAUACUUGCUCUGUGGCUGCGAGAAACAGAUGGAGAGAAAGUAGUGAAGCCUCGCAAAUGGCGGGUUCAUGUGUUAUGGGUUAAAUUUUCCUCGCGGUUAGCCUGGUUUGCCGCUGUCCUGGUGAGCUUGUUUACAGCAAACAUUUGUUCCUUUUUUUUUCUUUUUUACUAAUUUGUGAAAUUAAAUACUGAAAAAUUACAGAUUAUAAUG
rnacentral:lncRNA from 1 species